GACGAACGCUGGCGGCGUGCCUAACACAUGCAAGUCGAGCGAAUGAAGUUCCUUCGGGAAUGGAUUUAGCGGCGGACGGGUGAGUAACACGUGGGCAACCUGCCUCAUAGAGGGGAAUAGCCUCCCGAAAGGGAGAUUAAUACCGCAUAAGAUUGUAGUACCGCAUGAUACAGCAAUUAAAGGAGCAAUCCGCUAUGAGAUGGGCCCGCGGCGCAUUAGCUAGUUGGUGAGGUCAUGGCUCACCAAGGCGACGAUGCGUAGCCGACCUGAGAGGGUGAUCGGCCACAUUGGGACUGAGACACGGCCCAGACUCCUACGGGAGGCAGCAGUGGGGAAUAUUGCACAAUGGGGGAAACCCUGAUGCAGCAACGCCGCGUGAGUGAUGACGGCCUUCGGGUUGUAAAGCUCUGUCUUCAGGGACGAUAAUGACGGUACCUGAGGAGGAAGCCACGGCUAACUACGUG
rnacentral:rRNA from 1 species